rnacentral:rRNA from 1 species
GUGCCUUAUCUUCUUCCGCCUAGCGAGCUCCACCACUCAUUUACCCCAUCUCCACGAACACAUCCUCCUGUACUCAUGUAAUUCCCUUCCCCCGCUAAUCACCAAGGCAAUAAAAUCGGGCGCUCUGGUGGCUAGAAAUCGCACCAGUCUGAAGGGAGGGCCACGGGGGUACUGCUACGGGAGUCAGGGGCGAGCGACGACCGUGGGGAUGGUAGAGACGGCGGCUAGCGAGCUGCCAUGAUUUUUUUGCUGGAACCACUACUGUUUUUUUGCUGGAACCAGCUUUCGAUUUUGCUGUAAACUGAGGGACAGUGGUGCCUUCGCCCCUGAUAUUUUUCUACAUCAAAAUUUUGGCUGGAAGCACUUUUUGAUUUUUGCUGGAACCAACCUUUGAUUUUGCUACAUACGCAGGAUUUUUUGCUACAUCAAAAAUUUUGGCUUGAAGCACUUUUGAUUUUUGCUGGAACCAACAUUUGAUUUUGCUGCAUAGACAGGAUUUUUGGUACAUCAAAUUAUUGGCUGGAAGCACUUUUGAUUUUUGCUGGAACUAGCAUUUGAUUUUGUUGCAUAGGCUAGGAAUAGUGCUGGGGCGAUGAUAGACGGCGUCUGCCAUGUGUUUUGCUGCGACCAAGAAUCAUUUUUGCUACAACCAGCCGAAGCAGAGCUGGAACCGGCUAGAUUUUUUGUUUGCAGGCAUCGGCGGCAGUGCAUUUUUUUGCUGGAACCGUGAUAAUUUUUUGCUGGAACAAUUUUUGGUUUUUGCUACCGUCAGGGAAAUCCCCUUUUCCUAUUCGUUGAGCUUUUUAUGCUGAAAUACGGUGGUGGAAGGCGACGUCGGCGGCGAGUAGAGACGGCGGGGGCGGGAGGUGCUGCAACCACGAUGCCAGUUCUUGGAACAAGCCGAUGAAGAGAUGCAAACAGCAAAAUCUUGAAUCUUUCUAGGUAGCCCUGCAAUCCCCACGGCGCGCGGCGAGAUGCGGCAAGCCGGCAGUGCGGCGGCGCACGCGACGGUGCUGCAACGGGAGGACGAGGAGAUGAGGCGGGGCUGUCGGCCCGGGCGGGGGCGGCGCUCUUUUUCCUCUUCUUUUUUUCUGUGCGGGAGGUUGGCGAAGGGAACGAUAGGGGACAGAUCUGACGGCUGCGCAUGUGUAGAUCGGACGCUCGCGGUGCGACCGGCCGAAACUUUCGGCCGGCGCACCGGCGCCCAGUACCGCCCUGGUUGGGAAUGUGCGGCUCAAGUUUUGUCGUAUUUGGAUGUCUCCAUUGAAGCCAUGGAAACUGAAUUGGUAUUCCGCAGGCAGCAAUGCAGUUGUUUGGCUGGACACCGAAUUUGUAUUGGAAACGUAGAGGCAAUUCAGUCCGUUUUGGCUCUCACGUAAAACUUCCUCCCAUAAUUUGGCGGAAAUGUUAACGCCCACACGUGUGGGCAUUAGCCAACUCACCCACACGUCUCCAUCAUCG